rnacentral:rRNA from 1 species
UACAGAGGGUGCAAGCGUUAAUCGGAAUUACUGGGCGUAAAGCGCACGUAGGCGGUUUUUUAAGUCAGAUGUGAAAGCCCCGGGCUCAACCUGGGAAUUGCAUUUGAAACUGGGAAACUAGAGUGUGUGAGAGGGGGGUAGAAUUCCAAGUGUAGCGGUGAAAUGCGCAGAGAUUUGGAGGAAUACCAGUGGCGAAGGCGGCCCCCUGGCACAACACUGACGCUCAGGUGCGAAAGCGUGGGGAGCAAACAGG